rnacentral:rRNA from 1 species
GUGGGGAAUAUUGCACAAUGGGGGAAACCCUGAUGCAGCGACGCCGCGUGAGGGAAGACGGUUUUCGGAUUGUAAACCUCUGUCUUGUGGGACGAUAGUGACGGUACCACAGGAGGAAGCCAUGGCUAACUACGUGCCAGCAGCCGCGGUAAUACGUAGAUGGCGAGCGUUGUCCGGAAUUACUGGGUGUAAAGGGAGUGUAGGCGGGCUGGUAAGUUGAAUGUGAAACCUUCGGGCUCAACCCGGAGCGUGCGUUCAAAACUGCUGGUCUUGAGUGAAGUAGAGGCAGGCGGAAUUCCCGGUGUAGCGGUGGAAUGCGUAGAUAUCGGGAGGAACACCAGUGGCGAAGGCGGCCUGCUGGGCUUUUACUGACGCUGAGGCUCGAAAGCAUGGGUAGCAAACAGGAUUAGAAACCCCAGUAGUCC